UCUCCGUAGGUGAACCUGCGGAGGGAUCAUUACAGAGUUCUCGCCCUCGCGGGUAGAGCGCCCACCCACUGUUAUCGUUACUGUGUUGCUUUUGCGGGCCGCCGGGCACCGCUCGGCCGCCGGCUCCGGCUGGCGCGCGCCCGCCAGAGGCCCAGCAAACUCUGAAUGGUGGUGUCGUCUGAGUACUAUAGAAUAGUUAAAACUUUCAACAACGGAUCUCUUGGUUCUG
rnacentral:misc_RNA from 1 species